UACGGGGGGGAGCAAGCGUUGUUCGGAUUUACUGGGCGUAAAGGGCGCGUAGGCGGCCACCGCAAGUCGACUGUGAAAUCUCCGGGCUUAACCCGGAACGUCAGCCGAUACUGCGGGGCUAGAGUGCAGAAGGGGCAACUGGAAUUCUCGGUGUAGCGGUGAAAUGCGUAGAUAUCGAGAGGAACACCUGCGGCGAAGGCGGGUUGCUGGGCGUGACACU
rnacentral:rRNA from 1 species